CCUACGGGUGGCAGCAGUGGGGAAUAUUGGGCACUGGAGGCAACUCUGACCCAGCAACGCAGCGUGAAGGAUGACGGUCUUCGGAUUGUAAAGCUCUGUGAUGGGGGAUGAACACAAUGCCGGUACCCCGAUAGCAAGCCACGGCUCACUACGUGCCAGCAGCCGCGGUAAUGCGUGGGUGGCAAGUGUUAACCGGAAUGACUGGGUGUAAAGGGUGCGUAGGUGGUUUUGUAUGUUGGCUGUGUAAUUCAGGGGCUCAACCUCGGCACUACCGCCGAAACUGUUAGGCUAGAGUGCAGGAGGGGUAAGUGGAAUUCCUGGUGUAGCGGUGAAAUGCUUAGAUAUUAGGAAGAACAUCAGGGGCGAAGGCGACAUACUGGACUGUAACUGACACUGAGGCACGAAAGCGUGGGUAGCAAACAGGAUUAGAUACCCUGGUAGUC
rnacentral:rRNA from 1 species